rnacentral:rRNA from 1 species
UACGUAGGGGGCAAGCGUUGUCCGGAAUCAUUGGGCGUAAAGCGCGUGUAGGCGGCCUUGUAAGUCCGUUCUGAAAGCCCGGGGCUCAACCCCGGGAGGCGGAUGGAUACUGCAAGGCUCGAGUACGGAAGAGGCGAGUGGAAUUCCCGGUGUAGCGGUGAAAUGCGCAGAUAUCGGGAGGAACACCAAUGGCGAAGGCGGCAUCCUGGACCGGUAUUGACGCUGAGGCGCGAAAGCCAGGGGAGCAAACGGG